UCUAAAUGGGUCCGGUGACAUAUGUGGAACAUGUAGAUCCACGCGACCAGGUUGGCUCGCAUUACCCUCUCUCCCACACAAGGCUCGCACCGGCGGCUGCUCUGUAAUUUCACACAGGCGCGGCGCGGCGGCGAUUCCCCACCGGCGAUAUGUCGACGGACGGACUUGAGCUCGACGGGAGGGGGGAGCACACAUCGGCGGAUGGGGUUGUGAUGUGUUUCCAGUGGAAUCCCAAGAUUCCAUGAGUGCACCAGUUCUUGAGCUCGAGAAGGGCGAUGAAGGACGUGGAGAUGGACACAGUUAUGAGGUCUGCUUUGAAGCUACCAGCGGCCGAACGAGGAGUCACAGAACUGAGCAAUGUUGAUGGUCAAGUGUGCCGUGGCGGCGAGGCCACAUUCCUUGCCGGAAACGCUGGUUCGGGAGCUACAAGUGGCUGGACAAGAAGAAUCAUGCUGAUAUGGUCUGUAUCCUGAACCCUGAAGUAGAAGGCGUUUAAUCCGAUGCAUUUUCCUACUGUUGUGAUCUUGUAAUAUUGCCUUCUGGCCAAAUCAGCAAAAUCCCUGUUUGAAGCUGCGCAAGCUCUGUUUCUUUGGCUGUUGUUCCCUCUCAGCAAUCCAUUCGACUCGGGUAUAUGUUUGUAAUUAUUGUAAUGGAUUUGUACCAUUUGUGAACCAUGUCAAAUUGUUAAGGUGGGUGAUGGGUAUUACAACUAUGUAUGCAUGGUUGCUAGUUCUGUGCGUAGAACUUGAUCUGUGUAUUAGUCAAAACCGACACAUGUUGUGUGUUAGCUUAACAGGAAGAAACUGCAAUUGUCAAUGAGAGCAAUAUGUCGAGAAGGGAGACGGCCCAGUAGUCUAAUGAUUUCUGUAACGGAGUGUUUGAAUCAUCUUCGUCUGGCAAACUAUUGUUAAUUGCUUUUCCCAA